rnacentral:ribozyme from 1 species
AAGAACAGACAGGCACCACAUCCCUGUCUGUUCUUGGCUGUUGAGUGGGUUUUUGGAAACAAAAGAAGGAGAAUCAAAAUCCCUAAUGCUACAGAUGC